GACGAACGCUGGCGGCAUGCUUAACACAUGCAAGUCGAACGGAAAGGCCCUGCUUUUGUGGGGUGCUCGAGUGGCGAACGGGUGAGUAACACGUGAGUAACCUGCCCUUGACUUUGGGAUAACUUCAGGAAACUGGGGCUAAUACCGGAUAGGAGCUCCUGCUGCAUGGUGGGGGUUGGAAAGUUUCGGCGGUUGGGGAUGGACUCGCGGCUUAUCAGCUUGUUGGUGGGGUAGUGGCUUACCAAGGCUUUGACGGGUAGCCGGCCUGAGAGGGUGACCGGCCACAUUGGGACUGAGAUACGGCCCAGACUCCUACGGGAGGCAGCAGUGGGGAAUAUUGCACAAUGGGCGGAAGCCUGAUGCAGCAACGCCGCGUGCGGGAUGACGGCCUUCGGGUUGUAAACCGCUUUCGCCUGUGACGAAGCGUGAGUGACGGUAAUGGGUAAAGAAGCACCGGCUAACUACGUGCCAGCAGCCGCGGUGAUACGUAGGGUGCGAGCGUUGUCCGGAUUUAUUGGGCGUAAAGGGCUCGUAGGUGGUUGAUCGCGUCGGAAGUGUAAUCUUGGGGCUUAACCCUGAGCGUGCUUUCGAUACGGGUUGACUUGAGGAAGGUAGGGGAGAAUGGAAUUCCUGGUGGAGCGGUGGAAUGCGCAGAUAUCAGGAGGAACACCAGUGGCGAAGGCGGUUCUCUGGGCCUUUCCUGACGCUGAGGAGCGAAAGCGUGGGGAGCGAACAGGCUUAGAUACCCUGGUAGUCCACGCUGUAAACGGUGGGUACUAGGUGUGGGGUCCAUUCCACGGGUUCCGUGCCGUAGCUAACGCUUUAAGUACCCCGCCUGGGGAGUACGGCCGCAAGGCUAAAACUCAAAGGAAUUGACGGGGCCCCGCACAAGCGGCGGAGCAUGCGGAUUAAUUCGAUGCAACGCGUAGAACCUUACCUGGGUUUGACAUGGAUCGGGAGUGCUCAGAGACGGGUGUGCCUCUUUUGGGGUCGGUUCACAGGUGGUGCAUGGCUGUCGUCAGCUCGUGUCGUGAGAUGUUGGGUUAAGUCCCGCAACGAGCGCAACCCUUUUCACUGUUGCCAGCACGUUAUGGUGGGGACUCAGUGGAGACCGCCGGGGUCAACUCGGAGGAAGGUGGGGAUGACGUCAAGUCAUCAUGCCCCUUAUGUCCAGGGCUUCACGCAUGCUACAAUGGCUGGUACAGAGAGUGGCGAGCCUGUGAGGGUGAGCGAAUCUCGGAAAGCCGGUCUCAGUUCGGAUUGGGGUCUGCAACUCGACCUCAUGAAGUCGGAGUCGCUAGUAAUCGCAGAUCAGCAACGCUGCGGUGAAUACGUUCCCGGG
rnacentral:rRNA from 1 species